rnacentral:rRNA from 1 species
CCUACGGGAGGCAGCAGUGGGGAAUCUUGCGCAAUGGGCGAAAGCCUGACGCAGCCAUGCCGCGUGAAUGAUGAAGGUCUUAGGAUUGUAAAAUUCUUUCACCGGGGACGAUAAUGACGGUACCCGGAGAAGAAGCCCCGGCUAACUUCGUGCCAGCAGCCGCGGUAAUACGAAGGGGGCUAGCGUUGCUCGGAAUUACUGGGCGUAAAGGGAGCGUAGGCGGAUAGUUUAGUCAGAGGUGAAAGCCCAGGGCUCAACCUUGGAAUUGCCUUUGAUACUGGCUAUCUUGAGUAUGGGAGAGGUUAGCGGAACUCCGAGUGUAGAGGUGAAAUUCGUAGAUAUUCGGAAGAACACCAGUGGCGAAGGCGGCUAACUGGCCCAUUACUGACGCUGAGGCUCGAAAGCGUGGGGAGCAAACAGGAUUAGAUACCCUGGUAGUCCACGCCGUAAACGAUGAGUGCUAGUUGUCGGCAUGCAUGCAUGUCGGUGGACGACGAGACGUAACGACACUUAAGUACACCUCCGCCGUCGGGGAGGUACGGUCGCGAAGAAUUAAACUACGAAAGAAGUAGACGGCGUGAGACGUCGCCGACGGACGACGACGAGGGAGGAGG